GCAUGGAGGGGAGAUCGAACCUGCACAGAGCUCGCGAAUCCGUCAAUCAGCAUUCUGGAGGAGUCUCGGCACACCCACGACACCGCACCAGCCCCUUCUCUCUCCAAAAACGCUCCAUCUACGUUUAUUUUCAGCGAUCCCGAGCGUGGUGGAAUCCAAGAAAUCUGCAUCCGUGACAACACUCCUCGGAUCUGGUUUGGUGCCCCUGAAUAUGAAAUUGUUACGAGAUUUCCAUAUGUGCCAAAGAAUAGCUGUGACAAGCUUCAGAUUUCUUGAGUCCAUGAACAGAGGAGGAACAAGUGCUCAAGAGUUUCUCGAUUCUGCUGGCAAAGAGGGCAAAUUGGGUCAGGGAUUAUGUUUCUUUUGAGAAGGUUAUCCUUUGUAGGCAAGGCGUUUUGGCAAAUACUCCAUAAAAACAUCUUGAGUUUUGGCGGGACAUCUAGUUUCCAUAAUUUAUUCCAAAGUCCUGAUGGGGGCUGGUAGGAAGAGGAGGGUUGUUGUAUGCAUGAUAACGGAUCGUCUUGUCUGAGUUGGUUAUACCCAUUUUUCAUUGAAUACAACCCCGAUUUAGUCCCU